UACGAAGGGGGCUAGCGUUGCUCGGAAUGACUGGGCGUAAAGGGCGCGUAGGCGGAUGGCACAGUCAGAUGUGAAAUUCCCGGGCUUAACCUGGGGGCUGCAUUUGAUACGUGUUGUCUUGAGUUCGGAAGAGGGUCGUGGAAUUCCCAGUGUAGAGGUGAAAUUCGUAGAUAUUGGGAAGAACACCGGUGGCGAAGGCGGCGACCUGGUCCGACACUGACGCUGAGGCGCGAAGGCCAGGGGAGCAAACGGG
rnacentral:rRNA from 1 species